UGCAACCUCUGCCUCUCAGGUUCAAGCGUUUCUCCUGCCUCAGCCUCCCGAGUAGCUGGGAUUACAGGCAUCUGCCACCACGCCCGGCUAAUUUUUGUAUUUUUAGUAGAGACAGGGUUUCACCAUGUAGGCCAGGCUGGUCUCGAACUCCUGACCUCAGGUGAUCCACCCACCUCAACCUCCCAAAGUGCUGGGAUUACAGGUGUGAGCCACUGUACCCAGCUUUGAUUUGUUUUUUUUUGGAUGGAAGAGCAUGUUGCGGCUCUUCUCCAGGGGUCCUGCAACUGAAAGUGACAUGAAGUCCGAGAGGAGACCCCCCUCACCUGACGUGAUUGUGCUCUCCGACAACGAGCAGCCCUCGAGCCCGAGAGUGAAUGGGCUGACCACGGUGGCCUUGAAGGAGACUAGCACCGAG
rnacentral:sRNA from 1 species